UUUUUUUAAAUUAGAAACCAAAUUUAAAUGUUGAAAAUGAAAACCAAGAAGAAACUGGAAGAGGCUGGUACCUUAGGAUUGGAUGAUGACGUUUGAAUUUUGACCUAAUCUCAGCGGCUUUGAUGAAGAAGGAAAAGCAGAAGGAUUAGAUUGUUAUAAAUAAUUGUCUAUCAUAUUUUCCACACUAUAAAGAGCCUUAAAAGCCUCAAUUAAAAAAAAAAUGAUAGUGCAUCAUAGGCUAUAUGUAUUAAUUCUCUUGUGGUGUUGCAAACAAAAUUGUGUUAUUGUGAAUAUGCAAACAUGGCCAAUGUUUUGCAUUGUCGGACUGGAGUUGUUUUUUUCGUUUUUGUUUUUUUUUUUUUUUGCAUUACUAACAAAGUUUGGAGUUGGUAUAAUCUCUGUAACAUUUGUUUUAGCAGUGUCACUCUGUUUUCUGCAAACAACGUAAUAGUAAAAUAGGCCUACCAUGUUUAAAAUUGUUUUUCCCAUACCAAUUAUAAUUGAUUUAUUUUAUUUUGAAAGGAUUUUAUAAUGGUACAGGUCGAUUUGAUGAACAGCUUGCCUCAGACAGAUUGAUCUGGUUGGAUUGUAGGAAUAAAAAUAAUAACACGGUCCUGGAUUGGUUGAUUUUCUCAGAAUAUCCGGUCCGUUUGGGCGAGUGUUAGAGCUUACCUGAUCUCCAUUCAACUUCAUACUAGGGUCUUUAGCCUUAAAUGAACGGUGGUGCAUCUACAGUGUGUGAGCAAACUGCCACCAGACAGGAAGAAAAACAAAAGACCACUAAUCUGGAAAAUAAAAAAAUAAACAUUAAAAAAUGUCUUGCAAGUAGUUUUGAUGCACUGAAAAAGAAACAUGAGGUGUUGAGUGAGUUUGGUAUCUGGAUGCUGAGGGUCGUUUUUGUCAGGCUUUACCAGCUGCCUGUCCCUCUGUCUCCCUCUGCUGGUCAUAUUGUGUCAGUGCUGUCUUCUGCUGUUUUCUGUUAGGUCUCCACAGGUGUGCUGGAUUACUGGCGGGGACUCCUGGCACACCUGUAAUCCAUCUCCACUCAUCCUGUAUCAGUUUCUGAAUUUCUCAGCCUUCCUUAAAUCUAUAAACUGUUUCCUUCAUUAAGCAGCUUCUUCCUCCUUCAGUCAUAACAGUUUCAGUAACGUGUUUGGACUGAACUACCACUUGCUUUCAGGACGCUUACAGGAAAAGUAUGGAGUAUUCAGAUAAGAACCAGUGGAGGUCUCUCACACUUCACGUUGUAUUGGAGCUACUGACCAAGUCAUGCCGACAAGCCCCAGACUGGGCUUCAUGUCGAAUCAGCAGAAAUAAUGCUGGAGAACCACAUAUACAAAAGAUGUGAAAGCAAGACAAACCACAUUCUUUAUUAGCAUUCCUAGACGUUCCACCAGCGGAACUGUCCCACAGAGGGAGCAACAGGAACUUGAUGAAGUUUCAAAAGAUCAAGAAAGAGAUCAUCUUUCUGGAAACUCAAAGUGAAAGUUAAUCAUUCAGUGGUCCAGCUCUGCCUAUGCAUAUCUCACUUGGAAUGAAUGGAAGGCACGCACGAUGUCGAGGAAUACAGUUUAUUUAUUGUGAAGAGUUCUACAAAAACAUAGACACAGAGGUGACCGCGGGAGAAGUUUGAGGUUAUUGGUGGUUAUUAGAAAGUGCUACGAUCCAGCCUGAUGCCGUGAUUAUUGUCCAACAACAAGCUGGGACACACGGGACAGCCGGAGCUGCAGGCAGGUGUUCUCCCACCUGGCGUUCACACUCACACUCACACACACCAACAUAGCGUAUGUGGCUGCAAACUUGACAACAGUGGAAGUGUGUGUGGUCCCAGGAGCCGGCUCACAGACGGGGCAGCUCUGGAACACACAAACAGAAACGAUGAAUGCAAGGUAACUGGGACAAGGAGCUGCAACAAACCGUAGAAACCAAAAACACAAGAAUUUCAUUCUAAACAAGACAAUUCUCAGCCUUCAGUGUGUGUGCAUGUGACUGCAUGUUACACCGCGGGGUGCUCAUGGAGGUUUUUAAGAAAAUGUUAGAAUUUUAUGGUAUAUGGGUGAAUUUUUCUCAAAAAUUGACCAGAUUGUUUUUGUAGUUCUUCUUUCUUACCGCAUAUUUUAAGAGAAGUUUCGCCCUUGCCCCAUACUCAAAGACUCAAAAUUUGUAAGAACCAUUUAGCUGGCGAAAGGAAAUGUAUGACACAGUGAACAACCCCAAAAAUGACAUCACAGGGGGGUAAAAAUGAAUGAAUGGGGCCAAAAUCUCUUAUGGGGCUCCAAAAGCUAUUUUAAAAUCCACUAAAGAAACCAAAACAUACCUGUCAUCCAAAUGAAUUUUUGAAGUUAUUAUGGGAUGGCCAUGAGACCUACGCCUUGUUGGUCAUUUUGUGACAAAGUGUGAAAUUUGGUGAUUUUCUAAUUUUGCCACUAUACAGGAAAAUGAAACUUUUGUUGACAAAAUUUCACACUUGCAUCUCCAGGUGAAGUCUACAACCAAAGUUGUAUUGACCUUUGACCUCAGGAAGAAGCUGGCAUGUCACCUUCAAGCCAACAGCAAAUUUAAACUCCUCCAAGAGAAUUAAAUCUAGCACCUCAAGCAGCAAAAAUCUUUGCCCUCCAACGAUUGAGUCAAUAUUAGUAUCAUCACUGAGAAAGAUUAAGAAAUCCUCAAUACAGCCUUUAUUUGAUUUAUUAACCUUUAUUUAACCAGGAAGUCCAAUUUAGCUUAAAGUCUCUUACAAGAGAGUCCUGACCAAGACGUCGCAAAAAACCACACAUAAAUUAUUCACAGUUAGAUGAAUAAAACAUUUUAUUCAAAAACAAUUACAAGCAAAAGAAUUGUUCUUUCAUGCUCUCAACUUGAAUGUAAAAUAAUUUAAUGGAAAGAAUUCUGGAAGGAGUUCUUUAAGAAGAAUGACUGGAAUAUGUAUUGUUGAUCCUUUUUUUUGUUAUGGCCUUAAACGCUGCUUUUCUGCCACCCUUAGUAUGUCUUCUGCCCCCCCCUCUUUUAAAUCUUCUGGCUCCACCACUGAUUAAUCUUAUGAUAAUUUAUGUCAAUAAACCUUUUGUUGAUCUGCUGUU